UGGGGAAUUUUGGACAAUGGGGGCAACCCUGAUCCAGCAAUGCCGCGUGUGUGAAGAAGGCCUUCGGGUUGUAAAGCACUUUUGUCCGGAAAGAAAACUUCGGGGCUAAUACCCCUGGAGGAUGACGGUACCGGAAGAAUAAGCACCGGCUAACUACGUGCCAGCAGCCGCGGUAAUACGUAGGGUGCGAGCGUUAAUCGGAAUUACUGGGCGUAAAGCGUGCGCAGGCGGUGCUGUAAGACCGAUGUGAAAUCCCCGGGCUUAACCUGGGAACUGCAUUGGUGCCUGCAGCGCUGGAGUAUGGCAGAGGGGGGUGGAAUUCCACGUGUAGCAGUGAAAUGCGUAGAGAUGUGGAGGAACACCGAUGGCGAAGGCAGCCCCCUGGGCCAAUACUGACGCUCAUGCACGAAAGCGUGGGGAGCAAACAGG
rnacentral:rRNA from 1 species